GGUGCGUAGGCGGCUUUUUAAGUCAGUGGUGAAAUCCUGCCGCUUAACGGUAGAAUUGCCAUUGAUACUGAAGAGCUUGAGUUCAGUUGAGGUAAGCGGAAUGUGUAGUGUAGCGGUGAAAUGCUUAGAUAUUACACAGAACACCAAUUGCGAAGGCAGCUUACUAAACUGACACUGACGCUGAUGCACGAAAGCGUGGGGAGCGAACAGGAUUAGAUACCCUGGUAGUCCACGCCGUAAACGAUGUUCACUCGCUGUUUGCGAUACACAGCAAGCGGCCAAGCGAAAGCAUUAAGUGAACCUCCUGGGGAGUACGAUCGCAAGGUUGAAACUCAAAGGAAUUGACGGGGGCCCGCACAAGCGGAGGAACAUGUGGUUUAAUUCGAUGAUACGCGAGGAACCUUACCUGGGCUUAAAUGUAGAACGACAGAUUGUGAAAGCAGUCCUUCUUCGGACGUUUUACAAGGUGCUGCAUGGUUGUCGUCAGCUCGUGCCGUGAGGUGUCGGGUUAAGUCCCAUAACGAGCGCAACCCUUAUCGUUAGUUGCCAGCGGGUCAAGCCGGGGACUCUAGCGAGACUGCCACCGUAAGGUGUGAGGAAGGUGGGGAUGACGUCAAAUCAGCACGGCCCUUAUGUCCAGGGCUACACACGUGUUACAAUGGCCGGUACAAAGGGCAGCUACUUCGCGAGAAGAUGCUAAUCUCGAAAGCCGGUCUCAGUUCGGAUCGAAGUCUGCAACCCGACUUCGUGAAGCUGGAUUCGCUAGUAAUCGCAUAUCAGCCAUGAUGCGGUGAAUACGUUCCCGGGCCUUGUACACACCGCCCGUCAAACAAUGGAAGCUGGGGGUACCUGAAGUCUGUAACCGAAAGGAGCGGCC
rnacentral:rRNA from 1 species